CUCCACUCCUGGUGGUGCCGGAAAUUCCUUUGUGUUUCAGCCUUGCGACCAUACUACCCCCGAAACCCAAAGACUUCGAUUUCUCAUAAGGUGCCGGCGGAGUCCUAAAAGCAACAUCGGCCGAUCCCUGGUCGGCGUCGUUUAUGGUUGAGACUAGUACGGUAUCUGAUCGUCUUCAACCCCCCAAGUUUCGUCCUUGAUUAAUGAAAACAUCCUUGGUAAAUGCUUUUGCAUUUGUUUGUCUUUCAUAAAUCCAAGAAUUUCACCUCUGACUAUGAAAUACGAAUGCCCCUAACUGUGACUGUCCCUUCCUGUUAAUCAUUACUGCGAUCCCGAAGGCCAACGUAAUAGGACCGAAAUCCUAUAAUGUUAUCCUAUGCUAAUGUAUACCGAAUGG